AGAGUUUGAUCCUGGCUCAGAUUGAACGCUGGCGGCAUGCUUUACACAUGCAAGUCGAACGGCAGCACGGGGGCAACCCUGGUGGCGAGUGGCGAACGGGUGAGUAAUAUAUCGGAACAUAUCCGGAAGUGGGGGAUAACGUACCGAAAGGUACGCUAAUACCGCAUAUGCCCUGAGGGGGAAAGGGGGGGAUCGCAAGACCUCUCGCUUUCGGAGUGGCCGAUAUCGGAUUAGCUAGUUGGUGAGGUAGAGGCUCACCAAGGCGACGAUCCGUAGCUGGUCUGAGAGGACGACCAGCCACACUGGAACUGAGACACGGUCCAGACUCCUACGGGAGGCAGCAGUGGGGAAUUUUGGACAAUGGG
rnacentral:rRNA from 1 species